UCUCUCUCUCUCUCUCUCUCUCUCUCUCUCUCUCAGAGUUUUAAGAAAUCUGAAGCUUUUUAUAUAUAUAUAUAUGUACAUUUUUGUGCAGAGAAGGUGAAGAAAACUUGAGCGUUGACAAUGAGAGAUGGUGUUAAAAGAGUGACAAAAAAGAAGGAAAUGCUAUGGCAACCCAUUACUCAUCAGCUGUAAUGAGGCAUGUGGCUACUUCUCAGAAAACCAGAUACGCUCUCUCUAUUUUCAUGAUUUGAAUUAAAGAAGGUGGUUAGAGCUGGUAUACCAGAUUGUCAUAUAAAAGCUGAGGUUUGAUCCAACUUUUGAUCUGUUCGUUGCAACAAAAAGUUCAAAACACAAAAAAAAAAAAAAAAAAAAAAAAAAAA